rnacentral:rRNA from 1 species
GUUUGACCUGCCCACUGAUUUAUUUUUGAAGGGCCGCAGUAAUUUGACUGUGCAAAGGUAGCAUAAUCAUUAGUUUUUUAAUUAAAAGCUUGUAUGAAGGGUUGGACGAGGUAAAUUCUGUCUCUAUUUAAUUUAUUAUAGAAUUUAAUUUUUAAGUUAAAAAGCUUAAAUUUGAUUAAAAGACGAGAAGACCCUAUAGAUCUUUAUAUUAUUUUUAUUAAUCUUAAUUAAGAUUAUUUAAUUUUUUAAUAAAUUUAAUAUUUUAUUGGGGUAAUAAAAAGAUUAGAUUAAUUCUUUUUAAAAAUUUACAUUAAUAAAUGAGUUUAUGAUCCAAUAUUAUUGAUUAAAAGAUUAAGUUACCUUAGGGAUAACAGCGUAAUAUUUUUAGAGAGUUCAUAUCGAUAAAAAAGUUUGCGACCUCGAUGUUGGAUUAAAAAUUAUUUUAGGUGCAGAAGCUUAAAAUUUUGGUCUGUUCGACCAUUAAAUUUUUACAUGAUCUGAGUUCAGACCGGCGUAAGCCAGGUCGGUUUCUAUCUUUAAUAAAUUUUAAUAUUUUAGUACGAAAGGACCAGAUAUUAGAUAUUUAUAUAUUUAAUAAUUUUGAAUAU